ACAAAUGCCUAGAUAGAUAUUAAUUAAAAUUCCGAUGAAGGAGCCUUGGCUCUAGGUUAGAAACUGGUUCUUUCUCUAUUGGCAAGAAAUCUUGAAACAAAGUGAAUAAUGACAUAA